AAACCGGAUCUGUUCUUCCCCUCCUCUCUUGCGACGGCGCGACUCCUUCUUGGGCGAAAUCGCGGCAGCAAGCGAUCACGUCUCCGGCGCCCGGCGAGGUUGUUCUCCGAGGGUUUCUUCACGAGGUGGUGGUCCUCACGUCGAGGAGAGGCCGUGAGCACAAGAAGGGACCGAGAGCUUGAGUUAACCGGAACCCUAACAGCUCCUCCUUCUCGGUUGUAGGUCCAAGAAACCCAAGAUACAGGAAAGGGAAGGAUAUAGAAAGGAAGGCGA